GGGCCGUGGUAUACUGACCAGGCGGAAGGUAGCAUAAUCAUUAGCCUCUUGAUUGGGGGCUAGAAUGAAUGGUCUGACUAGAGGCAACCUGUCUCCCUUACUAAAUUGAACUUAAUCUUUAAGUGAAAAAGCUUAAAUAUUCUUGGAGGACGAUAAGACCCUAUAGAUCUUCACAUUCAUCUCUUUUACCUAACGGUAGGUAAACGGGCAAAAGAAAAGAAUGUUUGGUUGGGGCGACAAUAAGAGUAGAAUAAACACUUAAGAAUAUGUGCACACAAAUAAGUGACCAUUGAUCCUUAGAUGAAUAUAGAACAAGUUACCUUAGGGAUAACAGCGUAAUUCUUUUUGAGAGUCCAAAUCGACAAAAGAGUUUGCGACCUCGAUGUUGGUUCAGGGACCCUAUUUGGUGCAGCAGCUUAGUUAGGUAGUCUGUUCGACUAUUAAAUCCCUACGUGAUCUGAGUUCA
rnacentral:rRNA from 1 species